AUGGGUCGGCGGCUGAUUAGGUAGUUGGUGAGGUAAUGGCUCACCAAGCCUAAGAUCAGUAGGGGUCGUGAAAGCGAUAGCCCGAAGAAGGGCACUGAGAUACUGGCCCUAGCCCUACGGGGUGCAGCAGGCGGGAAAACUUUACAAUGCACGAAAGUGUGAUAGGGGAAUUCCAAGUGCUUAUACUUUUGUAUAGGCUUUUGUUAAGGGUAAAAACCUUGAAGAAUAAGUGGUGGGCAAGACUGGUGCCAGCCGCCGCGGUAACACCAGCGCCACGAGUAGUAGUCACGUUUAUUGGGUCUAAAGCAUUCGUAGCCGGUUUGAAAAGUCUUUUGUGAAAUUGUUGAACUUAAUUUAACAACAUGCAAAAGAUACUAACAGACUUGAAGCUGGGAGGAGUCAAGAGUAAUCUAAGGGGAGCGGUUAAAUGUUAUAAUCCUUAGAAGACUACCGAUGGCGAAGGCACCCGACUAGAACAGAUUUGACGGUGAGGGAUGAAAGCUAGGGGAGCAAAACGGAUUAGAUACCCGAGUAGUCCUAGCUGUAAACACUGUGCACUAGGUGUUGCGAUGACCUCGAGAUUUUGCGGUGCCGAAGUGAAAACGUUAAGCUCACCGCCUGGGAAGUACGGUCGCAAGACUGAAACUUAA
rnacentral:rRNA from 1 species